CCAACCGAGAGGAGCCAGUUCUAUAAUCGAUAACCCCCGCUUAACCUCACCACUUCUUGCCAAUACCGCCUAUAUACCACCGUCGCCAGCCCACCCCGUGAGUGAAAUAGUAGGCACAAUGAGAAGUCACCAAAACGUCAGGUCAAGGUGUAGCGUAUGAAGUGGAAAGAAAUGGGCUACAUUCUCUAACCUAGAGCACACAAAAAAUCAUAUGAAAUUAGAUUAGAAGGAGGAUUUAGUAGUAAAAAGAAACAAUAGUGUUCUUUUUAAGUUGGCCCUGGGGCGCGCACACACCGCCCGUCACCCUCUUCAACUAAUAAAACACGAUUUAUAAAACACAAAACAAACACCUGAAGAGGUAAGUCGUAACAUGGUAAGUAUACCGGAAGGUGUGCUUGGAAUUA
rnacentral:rRNA from 1 species